AGGGUUUGAUUAUGGCUCAGAACGAACGCUGGCGGCGCGCUUAACACAUGCAAGUCGAACGGCAACGGGUCCUUCGGGAUGCCGGCGAGUGGCGAACGGGUGAGUAACGCGUGGAUACCUGCCCUAUGGUGGGGAAUAACGUCUAGAAAUGGACGCUAAUACCGCAUAAGCCCUAUGGGGGAAAGAUUUAUUGCCAUGGGAGGGGUCCGCGUCGGAUUAGCUAGUUGGUGGGGUAACGGCCUACCAAGGCGACGAUCCGUAGCUGGUCUGAGAGGAUGAUCAGCCACACUGGGACUGAGACACGGCCCAGACUCCUACGGGAGGCAGCAGUGGGGAAUAUUGCGCAAUGGGGGAAACCCUGACGCAGCGACGCCGCGUGGGUGAAGAAGGCCUUAGGGUUGUAAAGCCCUUUCAGUGGGAAAGAUGAUGACGGUACCCACAGAAGAAGCUCCGGCUAACUCCGUGCCAGCAGCCGCGGUAAUACGGAGGGGGCUAGCGUUGUUCGGAAUUACUGGGCGUAAAGGGCGCGUAGGCGGUUGAUCAAGUCAGGAGUGAAAGCCUCGUGCUCAACGCGGGAACUGCUUCUGAAACUGGUCGACUAGAGUA
rnacentral:rRNA from 1 species